AUGACUACUCUUAUCGGUAUGGCUCCUGCCGAGGCUGAUGUAGAGAAGGGAAGGAAAGCAACCAAAGUUGCUUUCACGUGGAUUCAAAGGAAGUUUGCGCAUUGCCCUGCAGAUGCCACUGAUGAUGUGAUCCAGCCACAUGCUCGUGUCUAUAUGUGGUACGUUGUCUCGAGGACUUUGUUUCCUGACUCCAUAGGCAAGAAUGCUCCAUGGAUGUGGCUGAAGGCGUUGACCAUCUUCUAUAGCAGAUGGAGCUGGGGUUCAGUGACUCUUGCCUACUUGUACCGAUAG
rnacentral:rRNA from 1 species